GCAUCUUUAGCUCAGUUGGUAGAGCAGCUGACUCUUAAUCAGCGGGUCCGGGGUUCGAGCCCCCGAAGGUGUA
rnacentral:tRNA from 1 species